rnacentral:rRNA from 1 species
UACGUAGGGUGCAAGCGUUGUUCGGAAUUAUUGGGCGUAAAGCGCGUGUAGGCGGCUUGGCAAGUCGGGUGUGAAAUCCCUCAGCUCAACUGAGGAAGUGCGCCCGAAACUGCUUGGCUUGAGUACCGGAGAGGAUGGUGGAAUUCCCGAAGUAGAGGUGAAAUUCGUAGAUAUCGGGAGGAACACCGGUGGCGAAGGCGACCAUCUGGACGGAUACUGACGCUGAGACGCGAAAGCGUGGGUAGCAAACAGG